AACCGGCUACCGACGUACCGAGGGCAACGAGGGGGCCAGGUCUGCCCGUGACCCCUACGCCCCUGCGUCUCAGAAAGCUGGAUGGGAUCACCAGAGGUCCGGCCUGGUACCCGCUCCUCGGCCGCUCGGCUCUGCCCAAGUGGGGCGAGGGAGGAGGAGAGUGUGUGCAGGACACGGAAGGGAGGAAAAGAGAGGGUGAGUGGCUGAAUCAGCAGACUUGGAAUUCGAUACCCGGGACCAGCCGUGAUAUAUUCUAGGAAGCAGGGCCGUCGCCAAGAGUGGAGACCGCACACGACGCCAACGCUGGAUCAGAACACAGGUCCGUCCAGCCACGGGUGCCG
rnacentral:lncRNA from 1 species